UACGUAGGUGACAAGCGUUGUCCGGAUUUACUGGGCGUAAAGAGCGCGCAGGCGGUCGUUCAAGUCGAGUGUGAAAGCCCCCGGCUCAACUGGGGAGGGUCACUCGAUACUGAUCGACUCGAAGGCAGGAGAGGGUAGUGGAAUUCCCGGUGUAGUGGUGAAAUGCGUAGAUAUCGAGAGGAACACCUGCGGCGAAGGCGGGUUGCUGGGCUGACACUGACGCUGAUGCGCGAAAGCCAGGGGAGCGAACGGG
rnacentral:rRNA from 1 species